CUCCUCCGGCGCCUGAAUCGGUCGUCGGAAAACCGGUCAUCGUCGGUGGAUUCCAUUGAAUGAUCCCAUAGCUAACUUAUUGUUCAAUUAUUGUUCCCUUUUAACCUAGUCCUUCAAACAUGAGACGAAAUGAUGUCAUCAUAAGCAAUAAGUACUUUUUUAUAUAGUGUUAUAAUUGUACGAUGAGAGUUUUAUAGUGCAUCUUUUUUUUUAUGUGUGUGUAUGAUGGGA
rnacentral:lncRNA from 1 species